UGUGUCUGUAGCGCAGCUGGAUAGCGCGUCAGACUCCGACUCUGAAGGUCGCGGGUUCGAAUCCCGCCAGACACAU
rnacentral:tRNA from 1 species